rnacentral:rRNA from 1 species
CCAGACUCCUACGGGAGGCAGCAGUGAGGAAUAUUGGUCAAUGGGCGAGAGCCUGAACCAGCCAAGUCGCGUGAGGGAGUACUGCCCUAUGGGUUGUAAACCUCUUUUGUCGGGGAGCAAAAGCCGGACGUGUCCGGCUGUGAGAGUACCCGAAGAAAAAGCAUCGGCUAACUCCGUGCCAGCAGCCGCGGUAAUACGGAGGAUGCGAGCGUUAUCCGGAUUUAUUGGGUUUAAAGGGUGCGCAGGCGGAUUUUUAAGUCAGCGGUCAAAUCGUGGGGCUCAACCCCGUACUGCCGUUGAAACUGCAUCCCUGGAGUGCGCGAGAAGUAUGCGGAAUGCGUGGUGUAGCGGUGAAAUGCAUAGAUAUCACGCAGAACUCCGAUUGCGAAGGCAGCAUACCGGCGCGCAACUGACGCUCAUGCACGAAAGCGGGGGUAUCGAACAGGAUUAGAUACCCCGGUAACC